rnacentral:lncRNA from 1 species
UCCAGUUUGGCUACAACACUGGGGUCAUCAAUGCUCCUGAGACGAUCAUAAAGGAAUUUAUCAAUAAAACUUUGACGGACAAGGCAAAUGCCCCUCCCUCUGAGGUGCUGCUCACGAAUCUCUGGUCCUUGUCUGUGGCCAUAUUUUCCGUCGGGGGUAUGAUCGGCUCCUUUUCCGUCGGACUCUUUGUUAACCGCUUUGGCAGGUAUUGACUAGAAACUGGGCAAGGAAGUGGGCUCUACCAGAUGCAUUGGGGACAAGUGUGGAGAGUUAGGGCAGGGAGGUGAUGAUGCCUUUGAAUAAGAACACCUUGAAUUCUAAUCAAGGGAAACUAGCCCAACUGGCCCCGAAUAUGACUGCCCUUGCUUGGAGCUCUACUACCCUGGAGAGCUCCCACCCAGCUGUGCAAGAGAUGAACUGUGUGAGUGAUUGGCCUUUGCAGUCCAGUUAGGGAUAGUUCAGAAUUAUUCCCUAGUAAGCUCAACUAUGGGGUUUCCAGGAACAUACUUAAUUUACAAGGUCCAAAGUUGAUUACUUUUCUCAAA